AGAGUUUGAUCCUGGCUCAGGGUGAACGCUGGCGAUGUGCCUAAGACAUGCAAGUCGAGCGGGACUUGUUGUUUACACUAAGGAUAAAAUUUCUAAAAAUGUGUCCUGUCAAGGGGAAGGUGGUACGAAGUACCAAAGGGUUUUGUUCUUUGUGUAAAUAAUAAGUUUAGCGGCGAACGGGUGAGUAAUAAGUACGAAUAUGCCCCUUUGUGGAACAUAGUCCGCCGAAAGGCGGGGUAAUUUUCCAUAGUCUCGAAAGAGUAAAGACGCAAGUCGCAAAGGGAGUAGCGUACUCGCUACCAGCUUGUUGGUAAGGUAAAGGCUUACCAAGGCUAUGACGGCUACCGGCUCUUAGCGGAGAGUCCGGCACAAUGGGACUGAGACACGGCCCAUACUUCUACGGAAGGCAGCAGUUAGGAAUUUUGCGCAAUGGACGAAAGUCUGACGCAGCGACAUCGCGUGUGGGAUGACGGCCCUCGGGUUGUAAACCACUUUUUGGGAGCCAUGAAGGCUCCAGAAUA
rnacentral:rRNA from 1 species